UACGUAGGGGGCAAGCGUUGUCCGGAUUUAUUGGGCGUAAAGAGCGUGUAGGCGGCUAGAUAGGUCCGUUGUGAAAACUCGAGGCUCAACCUCGAGACGCCGGUGGAAACCAUCUAGCUAGAGUCCGGAAGAGGAGAGUGGAAUUCCUGGUGUAGCGGUGAAAUGCGCAGAUAUCAGGAAGAACACCCGUGGCGAAGGCGGCUCUCUGGUACGUGACUGACGCUGAGACGCGAAAGCGUGGGGAGCGAACAGG
rnacentral:rRNA from 2 species